AAACAUUCUAAUUUUUUGCGCGAUCGGUAUUUUAUACCAUGGAACACAAAGUCUCGUUAAAUAUUAGAUCUAUCUUGUAUUUUAUCUGAGUAAUAAAAAAAACAAAAUUUGUGAAAAGUUUAUGUUAGAAAGCUCAGAUAGCAGCACUUACAUUACAUCAAUAAUUAAACGUAACAAUUAAAAGUUAACAAUUUCAGAAAAUUAAUAAAUAGAGAUGACGUAAGAGGUUAUCUUUUUUUAAUUAUAUAAAACUGAAAAUGAUAUUGGUUGAACAUUUCCUUUUACGUACAAUAUUAUGAUGUCAAUGUGCGAUACAAAGUUGAUUAGAAAAAUAAUAUAGAUAUCCUCAAUGACAUGUGCAAUGUUAAAGCAUGGUUGUCACGCCACGGAAGAUGAAACAGGUUGCCUUUUCUGUGAUUUGUAUAAUAUUAGUGUUAGGAUUUUAUAAAACAUUAGUAAAUCCAGAAGAUGAACAAUCUUUUACCCGAGUUCACCCACGAGAUCGUAAAUCUCAUCUAGGAGAUGUAAAUGAAAUUGAAAGUGUCAAUGAAAAAGUUCAAGAGGUAGUUGAUGAAAAUAUACGUUAUACUGAUAUUAAAGAUAUUGAAGAAGCAAAAAUACGAAUUCGUGAGUUAGAAGGCAAAUUACAACAUCUUGAAGCUAAGAUUGAAAAUAAAGUAUCAAAAGACUUCCCAACAGUCAAGUUUCUUAAUUAUAAAAACCGGAAAAGAAUAUUAGUCACAGGUGGAGCUGGCUUUGUUGGAUCACAUUUGGUUGACCGUUUAAUGCUUGCUGGCCAUGAAGUGAUAGUCGUAGAUAAUUUUUUUACUGGAAGAAAACGUAAUGUUGAACAUUGGGUUGGUCAUGAGAAUUUUGAGCUUGUUCAUCAUGACAUUGUUAGACCUCUUUAUUUAGAAGUUGACGAAAUAUAUCAUCUUGCUAGCCCAGCUAGUCCGCCACACUAUAUGCUUAAUCCAGUUAAAACAAUAAAGACAAAUACAUUAGGUACAAUAAAUAUUUUAGGUCUUGCGAAAAGGGUGGGAGCAAGAGUUUUAAUAGCUAGCACAUCCGAAGUUUAUGGAGAUCCUAAUGAACAUCCUCAGUCAGAAACUUAUUGGGGCCAUGUGAAUCCUAUAGGGCCAAGAGCUUGUUACGAUGAAGGAAAACGCGUAGCUGAAACAUUAAGUUAUGCAUAUAUGAGACAAGAGGGUGUUUCAGUACGUGUUGCUCGAAUUUUUAAUACAUUCGGACCAAGAAUGCAUAUGAAUGAUGGUCGUGUAGUUUCAAACUUUAUUUUACAAGCAUUGCAGAAUGAUUCGAUUACGAUAUACGGUAGUGGAAAACAAACAAGAUCUUUUCAAUAUGUAUCUGAUUUAGUCGACGGGUUAGUUGCUUUAAUGGCAUCUAAUUAUACCCAACCAAUAAACAUUGGAAAUCCUGUGGAGCAUACAAUAGAAGAAUUCGCUCUUAUAAUAAAAGAUUUAGUUGGUACUAAUAGUAAAAUAGUUGAACUUGCCGCGGUCGAGGAUGAUCCACAGCGAAGAAGACCGGAUAUCACUAGAGCUAAAAAAUAUUUAAAUUGGGAACCAAAAGUUCCUUUAGCAGAAGGACUUAAGAAAACGAUAAUGUAUUUCGCUAAGGAAUUACAAAGAACAAAGCAUUCUCAGAAAAAUAGUUUCAAACAAUAUUCUUACAAAAACGAUCACGAUAUAGUAGAACAACUUUAACAAACAAAAUAUCAAUACAAUUAAUUUUUUAUCCACUUUUAACAAAGUGGUUUCGGAAAGUGCCAUUAUGCUAUGGACCAUUAUGUGCCAAGAGAUUCCCCGUCCAAAUUGAAAAUUUUGUAUAAUUUAGAAUAUUAACAGCUUGAUUAGAAUGAUAAAUGAUAUGUUAAGUUUGACACACAUACAAUGAAUUUAUUUAUUACAUAUAAUGGUAUGCAAUAGUAUUUAGUUCAAGUGGCGAAUGCUUAUAUCACUUAUUUUAUAAUGAAAUGAAAUAUUCCUACGUUUAGCAAUGAAUUGUGUGCAAUGGUGCUGGGGAAAAUUAAUGUUUUUUUUCCCUCUAUGAAUUAUUAGAUUAAACGACAUGAACUUUGAAAGGUAUUAUAUCGGAUUUACUUAAUAUUUCUAUAAAAUUAAUUUUUCUUCGAAUAUACAUGACAUUAUCUAUUGUUGAAUUUCUGUAAUAAUAUAUGAUAGUAAUAUUAAUCUAAUUAUACU
rnacentral:misc_RNA from 1 species